AAAUGUUAACUAAAAUAAGGUUUUAGAUGAAACUUUUUCAGUAAUAAUUAUAUAGUGUGGAUACUUGGAUGUAUUUUCCCCACUUCUGUUGGACGCCCCCAGAAGGAAGGCUGUCACUCCUGUUCCUGUGAGCCAAUUGAAGACCUUAAGCUCCUCUUCAAACAGAACUGCUGGAGCUGCUCACUAUGGCGUCUUUACCUGUGCCCCACCUGGGAUGCCCGCUGAACGCCUUUUGGCUCUCCUCUUCCCUGGGCUCCUCUAGCCCAGGGGUCGGCAAACUGCGGCUCACGAGCCACAUGCGGCUCUUUGGGUUACUGUCAUCAUUGCUCCUGGGUUGAUGACCAGAAGGGAAGCCACAUCGCCAGGGGGAAGACUCCAUGCAGACCCCUGGAACCAUCACGUAGCCUCUGGAGAAACACCCAGAUUUUCCUUUUAAUACACCAGCCAGACUGAGAAAGCGAAGGCAAUUUUUGGAGGUGUUAACCUGCUGCGUUCUCAGACCACCGGUGCUCUGAUAAUAAAUGCUUAUUCUA